UCCUGGUGGCUCAGAUGGUAAAGAAUCUGCUUGCAAUGCAGGAUACCUGGGUUCGAUCCCUGGAUCAGGAA
rnacentral:tRNA from 1 species